GCCUGCCCAGUGAGUCACGACUUUAACGGCCGCGGUAUCCUGACCGUGCAAAGGUAGCAUAAUCACUUGUCUCUUAAUUGGGGACUAGUAUGAAUGGCACCACGAGGGUUCAACUGUCUCUUACUCCCAAUCAGUGAAAUUGACCUUCCCGUGCAGAGGCGGGGAUAAUUAUACAAGACGAGAAGACCCUGUGGAGCUUAAGUCGUAUAACUCAACAAAUACUAAUAUUUAACCUAUUGGAAUAACAUGUAUAAUCUAUGAGUUAUAGUCUUUGGUUGGGGUGACCUCGGAGCAUAAAAGAACCUCCGAAUGAAUAAAACCAAGAUUAACAAAUCUAAGUGUAAUAUUACCAGUAAUUGACCCAUAUUUUGAUCAACGGAACAAGUUACCCCAGGGAUAACAGCGCAAUCCUAUUUGAGAGCCCAUAUCGAAAACAGGGUUUACGACCUCGAUGUUGGAUCAGGACAUCCAAAUGGUGCAACCGCUAUUAAAGGUUCGUUUGUUCAACGAUUAAAGUCCUACGUGAUCUGAGUUCAGACCGGAGAAAUCCAGGUCGGUUUCUAUCUGUAAAUUCAUUUCUCCCAGUACGAAAGGACAAGAGAAAUAGGGCCAAUAUCCAUAAUAAGCCCUAGAAUUAAUAUAUGAUUUAUCUAAAUAUACUAAAUCAACCAUAUACCCCCAAGAACAGGGCUAUUAAGAUGGCAGAGCCGG
rnacentral:ncRNA from 1 species